GCUGUCUCAAAGAUUAAGCCAUGCAUGUCUAAGUCCAAACAUAAAUAAAGUGAAACCGCAAAAGGCUCAUUAUAUCAGUUAUGGUUCCUUAGAUCGUAUUCAUAGUUACUUGGAUAACUGUGGUAAUUCUAGAGCUAAUACAUGCAAUUAAGAAGUGACCAGUAAAAUGGACUCUUCGCUUUUAUUAGAUUUAAACCAAUGGGAGGUGUGUACGCAAGUGCACAUUUUCAAACAAACAUGGUUGAACUCUGGAUAACUUGUUGAUCGUAUGGUCUUGUACCGACGACGGAUCUUUCAAAUGUCUGCCCUAUCAACUAUUGAAGGUAGUGUCUUGGACUACCUUGGUUGCAACGGGUAACGGGGAAUCAGGGUUCGAUUCCGGAGAGGGAGCCUGAGAAACGGCUACCACAUCUAAGGAAGGCAGCAGGCGCGUAAAUUACCCACUCCCGGCACGGGGAGGUAGUGACGAAAAAUAACAAUACAAGACUCACAUCCGAGGCCUUGUAAUUGGAAUGAGUACACUUUAAAUCCUUUAACAAGGAUCAAUUGGAGGGCAAGUCUGGUGCCAGCAGCCGCGGUAAUUCCAGCUCCAAUAGCGUAUAUUAAAGUUGUUGCGGUUAAAACGUUCGUAGUUGAAUUUGUGUUCCGCACGGGCAGUACUUUUGAUCGGGCAACCGUGAUGGUACUAUGUCUUAUCUUCUUAUACACCAUUUUUAAUGGUUAUAUGAAAAGUGCGCGAACGUAUUAUCGGCGCUUGUUAUAUGUGCGCAUGCGGUUUCGAUCAUAUGUUAGCACAUAUACUUGCAUAAGCCCAUUUCUGUGCUCUUAACCGAGUGUUGUUGUGGGCCGAUACAAAUUACUUUGAACAAAUUAGAGUGCUUAAAGCAGGCUUGUAAUGCCUGAAUAUUUUGUGCAUGGAAUAAUGGAAUAGGACAUCUGUUCUACUUUCAUUGGUUUUUUAGACCAAGAUGUAAUGAUUAAUGGAAGCCGUUGGGGGCAUUAGUAUUACAACGCGAGAGGUGAAAUUCUUAGACCGUUGUAAGACUGACUAAAGCGAAAGCAUUUGCCAAAGAUGUUUUCAUUUAAUCAAGAACGAAAGUUAGAGGUUCGAAGGCGAUCAGAUACCGCCCUAGUUCUAACCAUAAACGAUGCCAGCUAGCAAUUGAGUGUAGCUACUACUAUGGCUCUCUCAGACGCUUCGCGGGAAACCAAAGCUUUUGGGCUCCGGGGGAAGUAUGGUUGCAAAGCUGAAACUUAAAGGAAUUGACGGAAGGGCACCACCAGGAGUGGAGCCUGCGGCUUAAUUUGACUCAACACGGGAAAACUUACCAGGUCCGAACAUAAAUGAGUAAGACAGAUUGAUAGCUCUUUCUCGAAUCUAUGGGUGGUGGUGCAUGGCCGUUCUUAGUUCGUGGAGUGAUUUGUCUGGUUAAUUCCGAUAACGAACGAGACUCAAAUAUAUUAAAUAGAUGCAUUCAGGAUUAUGGCGUUGAAGCCCUGUAUACCUUCAUAUGGUUUGGUUUGGUUUUCGGAUUAGGCCAGGCUGUGUGAUGGGUGUGUAGGGUGGAGUGAUACCUGUUUGUGUGUCUAAAUGCAAAAAUAGAUACUUAGCUUCUUAAAUGGACAAAUUGUGUCUAACAAUAAUGAGAUUGAGCAAUAACAGGUCUGUGAUGCCCUUAGAUGUCCUGGGCUGCACGCGCGCUACAAUGAAGGUAUCAACGUGUAUAUUCCUAGGCCGAGAGGUCGGGGUAAACCGCUGAACCACCUUCUUGCUUGGGAUUGUGGACUGAAACUGUUCACAUGAACCUGGAAUUCCCAGUAAGUGCGAGUCAUUAACUCGCAUUGAUUACGUCCCUGCCCUUUGUACACACCGCCCGUCGCUACUACCGAUUGAAUUGUUUAGUGAGGUCUCUGGACGUGGUCACUGCGACGCCUCGUGUGUUUCAGUUGUUUCACAGAAGUUGACCGAACUUGGUUAUUUAGAGGAAGUAAAAGUCGUAACAAGGUUUC
rnacentral:rRNA from 1 species